GACGUAGAGCCGCGGGCUGCCGAGCAGCCGGGACCAGCUCGGGUGGGUGCCCCAGCGGCGCACCGCCGGUUCGAUCGCGGCCUGGAUCUCC
rnacentral:tRNA from 1 species